AAAAAGACAUGCUUGAUUAAACAAAUCUUCCAGUUCACCUCUUUUCAAGGCAGGGUGUGGAGUACACUAAGGCCCAGAGAGAUUUUGCCCUUACGCUCCACCUCCAUGGCCCAAAAGCCUAUCAUUAUCUGAGAGAGACUCUGCAUAUUCACCUUCCACAU